rnacentral:rRNA from 1 species
UGAGGAAUAUUGGUCAAUGGGUGCAAGCCUGAACCAGCCAUCCCGCGUGAAGGACGACUGCCCUAUGGGUUGUAAACUUCUUUUGUAUAGGGAUAAACCUACCCUCGUGAGGGUAGCUGAAGGUACUAUACGAAUAAGCACCGGCUAACUCCGUGCCAGCAGCCGCGGUAAUACGGAGGGUGCAAGCGUUAUCCGGAUUUAUUGGGUUUAAAGGGUCCGUAUGCGGACUUAUAAGUCAGUGGUGAAAGCCUGUCGCUUAACGAUAGAACUGCCAUUGAUACUGUAAGUCUUGAGUAUAUUUGAGGUAGCUGGAAUAAGUAGUGUAGCGGUGAAAUGCAUAGAUAUUACUUAGAACACCAAUUGCGAAGGCAGGUUACCAAGAUAUAACUGACGCUGAGGGACGAAAGCGUGGGGAGCGAACA